CGAUGCGUCUCCUGAGACUACAGAGUUACUACCUCCAAUGCAAACUUCAAUGUCAUUUAGUAUACUCCUAGAGUGAGGACGAAUAUCAAAUAGCUUUUCUUGAAUUAUUAAGCAGAGAUUUUCCAGAUCCAUAGAGCUGACUUCAACUGGUUUAACCUCUAGUUCAAGAUGAUUUCCGAAGCGAGUUUUCAAGUGCUGAGAACUACCAAGACACCUCAACCUGCCUCCAACCAUUAUCCCAAUCCUUGUGCACAGAGCUUGAGCCUCACUCAUGCUGUGAGUGGUUAAGAUUACUGCUGUCUUUCCUCGUCUAGUUGACAAACG
rnacentral:misc_RNA from 1 species